rnacentral:rRNA from 1 species
AACGAACGCUGGCGGCAGGCCUCAUACAUGCAAGUCGAGCGGUCCUUCGGGACAGCGGCGAACGGGUUAGUAACGCGUGGGAACGUGCCCUUUAGUACGGAAUAGCCAUUGGAAACGAUGAUUAAUACCGUAUACGCCCCAAGGGGGAAGAUUUAUCGCUAAAGGAUCGGCCCGCGUUAGAUUAGGUAGUUGGUAGGGUAAUGGCCUACCAAGCCGACGAUCUAUAGCUGGUUUGAGAGGAUGAUCAGCAACACUGGGACUGAGACACGGCCCAGACUUCUACGGAAGGCAGCAGUAGGGAAUCUUGGACAAUGGGCGAAAGCCUGAUCCAGCCAUGCCGCGUGAGUGAUGAAGGCCCUAGGGUUGUAAAGCUCUUUCGCCAGGGAAGA